rnacentral:tRNA from 1 species
AGCCUCAUGGUGUAAUGGUAACACACCUCCCUUUGGAGGAGGUAUUUCAGGUUCGAAUCCUGGUGAGGCUG